GGUUAAGCGACUAAGCGUACACGGUGGAUGCCCUGGCAGUCAGAGGCGAUGAAGGGCGUGCUAAUCUGCGAUAAGCGCCGGUAAGGUGAUAUGAACCGUUAUAACCGGCGAUACCCGAAUGGGGAAACCCAGUGUGAUUCGUCACACUAUCAUUAACUGAAUCCAUAGGUUAAUGAGGCGAACCGGGGGAACUGAAACAUCUAAGUACCCCGAGGAAAAGAAAUCAACC
rnacentral:rRNA from 1 species